rnacentral:sRNA from 1 species
CUUCAUCGAUUUGUUGCGGGCUGAUGAAGUGAAUAUGCGAGUCGAUACCCCCAGCCGUCACGAUCAUGCCUUCGCCGGCGAUCACCUCGGUGGCGGCGCCAAUCGCGAUCGUCACGCCCGAUUGAAUGUCCGGAUUACCCGCCUUGCCGAUAGCAAAAACGCGCCCAUUCUUGAUGCCGAUAUCCGCCUUCACGACACCCCAGUAAUCGAGGAUCAGCGCGUUUGUCACGACCGUAUCGACUACGUCGGCAUGAUCGCGUUGCGACUGGCCCAUGCCGUCGCGAAU